rnacentral:rRNA from 1 species
CCUACUGCAGGCAGCAGUGGGGAAUAUUGGACAAUGGGGGGAACCCUGAUCCAGCCAUACCGCGUGUGUGAAGAAGGCCCUCGGGUUGUAAAGCACUUUCAGUGAGGAAGAACGCCUGGUGGUUAAUACCCAUCAGGAAAGACAUCACUCACAGAAGAAGCACCGGCUAACUCCGUGCCAGCAGCCGCGGUAAUACGGAGGGUGCGAGCGUUAAUCGGAAUUACUGGGCGUAAAGCGCGCGUAGGUGGCUUGAUAAGCCGGUUGUGAAAGCCCCGGGCUCAACCUGGGAACGGCAUCCGGAACUGUCAAGCUAGAGUGCAGGAGAGGAAGGUAGAAUUCCCGGUGUAGCGGUGAAAUGCGUAGAGAUCGGGAGGAAUACCAGUGGCGAAGGCGGCCUUCUGGACUGACACUGACACUGAGGUGCGAAAGCGUGGGUAGCAAACAGGAUUAGAUACCCCUGUAGUA